rnacentral:rRNA from 14 species
UAGUGACUGGGGUGAAGUCGUAACAAGGUAACCGUACUGAAGGUGCGGUUGGAUCACCUCCUU